rnacentral:tRNA from 1 species
GCUAAGGUAGUUAUACCGAAAAGCUUCACAUCUGGAAAGCGUGUAUUCCCCUAAAGGGAAUCGGGGGUUCGAAUCCCCCUCUUUCCGCA